rnacentral:rRNA from 1 species
UGGGGAAUAUUGCACAAUGGGCGCAAGCCUGAUGCAGCCAUGCCGCGUGUAUGAAGAAGGCCUUCGGGUUGUAAAGUACUUUCAGUCGGGAGGAAGGUGGUAAGGUUAAUAACCUUAUCAAUUGACGUUACCGACAGAAGAAGCACCGGCUAACUCCGUGCCAGCAGCCGCGGUAAUACGGAGGGUGCAAGCGUUAAUCGGAAUUACUGGGCGUAAAGCGCACGCAGGCGGUUGAUUGAGUCAGAUGUGAAAUCCCCGGGCUUAACCCGGGAAUUGCAUCUGAUACUGGUCAGCUAGAGUCUUGUAGAGGGGGGUAGAAUUCCAUGUGUAGCGGUGAAAUGCGUAGAGAUGUGGAGGAAUACCGGUGGCGAAGGCGCCCCCCUGGACAAAGACUGACGCUCAGGUGCGAAAGCGUGGGGAGCAAACAGG